ACAGUGGACGCGAGCAUCUUUGUUGUAAGUGUUUAAGAGCGUACGGUGGAUGCCUUGGCACCAGGAGCCGAUGAAGGACGUAGGAGGCUGCGAUAAGCCUCGGGGAGCUGUCAACCGAGCUGAGAUCCGAGAUGUCCGAAUGGGGAAACCCGCCACAGUGAUGUGUGGUUACCCGCGCCUGAAUAUAUAGGGCGUGUGGAGGGAACGUGGGGAAGUGAACAUCUCAGUACCCACAGGAAGAGAAAACAACAUGUGAUUCCGUGAGUAGUGGCGAGCGAAAGCGGAAGAGGCUAAACCAUGGGUGUGUGAUAGCCGGCGGGCGUUGCAUUCGUGGGGUUGUGGGAUCCGUCUUGUCAAUUCUGCCGGAUUGGCCGACAGUGAGAAAUCAUCGUGUUAGUCGAAGUGGUCUGGAACGGCCUGUCGUAGAGGGUGAGAGUCCCGUAGACGAAAACAUGGUGACUGUCGUGACGGACACCCGAGUAGCAGCGGGCCCGUGAAAUCUGCUGUGAAUCUGUCGGGACCACCCGAUAAGCCUGAAUACUCCCUGGUGACCGAUAGCGGACUAGUACCGUGAGGGAAAGGUGAAAGUACCCCGGGAGGGGAGUGAAAUAGUACCUGAAACCGUGCGCUUACAAUCCGUCAGAGCCUGCGCCACUUUUGGUGGGUGGGUGAUGGCGUGCCUUUUGAAGAAUGAGCCUGCGAGUUAGCGGCAUGUCGCGAGGUUAACCCGUGUGGGGUAGCCGUAGCGAAAGCGAGUCCGAAUAGGGCGUUUGUAGUGGCAUGUUCUAGACCCGAAGCGGAGUGAUCUACCCAUGGCCAGGGUGAAGCGACGGUAAGACGUCGUGGAGGCCCGAACCCACUUAGGUUGAAAACUGAGGGGAUGAGCUGUGGGUAGGGGUGAAAGGCCAAUCAAACUCCGUGAUAGCUGGUUCUCCCCGAAAUGCAUUUAGGUGCAGCGUCGCGUGUUUCACUCUGGAGGUAGAGCUACUGGAUGGCCGAUGGGCCCCACAAGGUUACUGACGUCAGCCAAACUCCGAAUGCCAGAGUGUGAGAGCGCGGCAGUGAGACUGCGGGGGAUAAGCUUCGUAGUCGAGAGGAAACAGCCCAGAUCGCCGGCUAAGGCCCCUAAGCGUGUACUAAGUGGAAAAGGAUGUGGGGUCGCGAAGACAACCAGGAGGUUGGCUUAGAAGCAGCCACCCUUGAAAGAGUGCGUAAUAGCUCACUGGUCAAGUGAUCCUGCGCCGACAAUGUAGCGGGGCUCAAGUACACCGCCGAAGCCGCGGCAUUCACAUAACACCCAUGCGGGUCUACGGGCCUGUGUGCAGUGGUGUGGAUGGGUAGGGGAGCGUCGUGCAGCCAUGGAAGCGCCGGAGUGAUCCAGGUGUGGAGGCUGCACGAGUGAGAAUGCAGGCAUGAGUAGCGAAAGACGAGUGAGAAACUCGUCCGCCGAUGACCAAGGGUUCCUGGGCCAGGUUAAUCCGCCCAGGGUGAGUCGGGACCUAAGGCGAGGCCGACAGGCGUAGUCGAUGGACAACGGGUUGAUAUUCCCGUACCCGUGUGAACGCGCCCCUGGUGAAUCAGUGAUGCUAAGCGCCCUGACCCGCCUUCGAACCUUCGGGUUCUCCGGUGUGUGGAUGCGCGUGAACCGAUCUGGUAGUAGCCAAGCGAUGGGGUGACGCAGAAGGUAGCUGAGCCAGUCAGUGGUAAUACUGGUGUAAGCGUGUAGGGCGUGACCUAGGCAAAUCCGGGUCACACACAGCCUGAGACGUGAUGCGUAGCCGAUUGAGGCGAAUUCAGUGAUCCUAUGCUGCCGAGAAAAGCCUCUAGCGAGCUUUCACACGGCCCGUACCCCAAACCGACACAGGUGGUCAGGUAGAGAAUACUAAGGCGAUCGAGAUAACUGUGGUUAAGGAACUCGGCAAAAUGCCCCCGUAACUUCGGGAGAAGGGGGGCCUCGUCUGGUGACGGAACUUGCUUCCUGAGCUGGGUGGGGCCGCAGAGACCAGAGAGAAGCGACUGUUUACUAAAAACACAGGUCCGUGCGAAGUCGUAAGACGAUGUAUACGGACUGACGCCUGCCCGGUGCUGGAAGGUUAAGAGGACCGGUUAGCCAGUAAUGGCGAAGCUGAGAAUUUAAGCCCCAGUAAACGGCGGUGGUAACUAUAACCAUCCUAAGGUAGCGAAAUUCCUUGUCGGGUAAGUUCCGACCUGCACGAAUGGCGUAACGACUUCUCUGCUGUCUCAACCACAGACUCGGCGAAAUUGCAUUACGAGUAAAGAUGCUCGUUACGCGCCGGCAGGACGAAAAGACCCCGGACCUUCACUAUAGCUUGGUAUUGGUGUUCGGUUCGGUUUGUGUAGGAUAGGUGGGAGACUGUGAAGCGGGCACGCCAGUGUUCGUGGAGUCGUUGUUGAAAUACCACUCUGAUCGUAUUGGACAUCUAACCUCGGACCAUGAUCUGGUUCAGGGACAGUGCCUGGUGGGUAGUUUAACUGGGGCGGUUGCCUCCCAAAAUGUAACGGAGGCGCCCAAAGGUUCCCUCAGCCUGGUUGGCAAUCAGGUGUCGAGUGCAAGUGCACAAGGGAGCUUGACUGUGAGACUGACAGGUCGAGCAGGGACGAAAGUCGGGACUAGUGAUCCGGCACCGGCAAGUGGAAGCGGUGUCGCUCAACGGAUAAAGGUACCCCGGGGAUAACGGCUGAUCUUCCCCAAGAGUCCAUAUCGACGGGAUGGUUUGGCACCUCGAUGUCGGCUCGUCGCAUCCUGGGGCUGGAGUAGGUCCCAAGGGUUGGGCUGUUCGCCCAUUAAAGCGGCACGCGAGCUGGGUUUUAGAACGUCGUGAGACAGUUCGGUCUCUAUCCGCCGCGCGCGUUAGAAACUUGAGGAGGCUGUCCCCAGUACGAGAGACCGGGACGGACGAACCUCUGGUGUGCCAGUUGUUCGCCAGGAGCACUGCUGGUUAGCUACGUUCGGAAGGGAUAACCGCUGAACAUCUAAGCGGGAAGCCUGUUCCAAUGAGGUUUCUCACCCCCUCGAGGGUAAGGCCCCCGGCAGACCACCGGGUUG
rnacentral:rRNA from 1 species